ACGAUGCUGCCCUGGUCAUAUAUCAGGCCCCGCUCUGUAUCUCUGCAGCUGUGGGGAUGGAGCCCAUUAUGGAGUGCAGGCUCCCUCCCAUGGAGGCAAGUGAAAUAGUUUAUAUCUUAUGGUACAAAGAGGGGGAGACACUAAACUCAUCAGACAGCCACCUCCUACUGUCUGAAAAUCUCACAGCAGGGUCUGGUACUCUCAAGAUAUCCUGUGUGCAGGCUCAGGAUGCUGGAGUUUGUCUGUGAGAUGGGGAAUAUCACCCACAGCUCUACCGGGAAUGGCACAAACCUGGAAGUCCAUGGUUCAACCCCACCUAUGAAUCAAUCUGCAAUGGAAGGAUGUGUUUACAUUACUGCACCUCAGAAAGAGAAAGUGGCAACAUUGUAGGCAUUAAUAUUCUGCUUCUCAGAAACGUCGUUGGAGGGCAGCUCUUGUUGACUCUAAUGCUUGCAGUCAUCAUCGGACAUUUCAUGUCAGCUAGAGUCCAAUUGGAUCAUGUUCUCGGAUAUACGUUAAAAUGUGUCUGCCUCCUCUCCUCCUAUUCGAAGAUCACAGGUCUCAUUGGAUAUUCAGAAUAACCCAACCUGCUGGAAACAUCAGGACAUCGAAAGGAACAAACUCUUGUUGCUUUGCUCUGCUCCCCCCCCCCCAAAAUCAGCAGUAUCCUAGACAGCAUUGAACUGCCAAUCUUGUCCCACUAAUGAGAAAGGAAAACCCAACCUUUCCCUCCCACUCCAGAGCACCUGGUCACCCAGCAGCUCCUGACCAUUCAUCAGCAGGUGUCUCUCCUAGACUACAGCUACAAAUUCAUUUUCUCUGAGGGGAAGACACCACCAGCACCAGGUUCAUUAGUUGGAAGCCAAUUCCCAGCUGUAACAGAAACUCUCGCUCCUAAAGAAGUUUAAGUAGCUCCCAGCUCCUCCUGGCGUCCAUUCUGCAGCCUGCUCUGAAAUCCACAGGACAUAGGACCCCCUUCCCCCAUGGAGACAUACCAUGAUUACCCCUGUUACUCAUCCCAAAAUGUUCUGAUUUUUCCAAAAUCUCCUUCCAGCUAACUAAAUUCCCAGGCAGUAAAUAACUGUCAGUAACACAGCAAGCAUCACUGUUCCCUGGGCCCAGUCUGAGACCAGCGCUGAGCAGAAAGAGCAAUGGUUAGCAUUGCACGUAGGGUUCCCAGCCUAUGGCUCAGUCUUUCCCCUUUCGUUCAAUUCUGUUUUAAAUGGCUCAGCCUUGCACAUGGUCUCUGGUUAAAUAGGAUUCCAGGACAGCAAUGAUGGGGAAACUGACAUUAGCCGAGACAAAAAGUGGGAGGGAAGAGUUAUAUUGGGCCUCAUGAUGUAUCACUGUGUAAUCUUGAGGGUAUUCAUUAGUAUUAUCUUUUGGAGCAGGAGUGGAAAGGCUGGUCCCAGACAGUACUUCUCUGGGUCCUUCCCACCAAAUUCCCUGUGAAUAUGGGUCCUGUCAUGCAAUACAAAAUGGAUGAUUAUUGACACAGAAGGGUCUAUCAGUGUGUGUGUCACUAAAUUGUUCAGUGGGUUAAAAUUAUUUGUAGGGAAGGCACCUCCAGCGUGAGCCCUGAGCUAGAGCCCAGCUCCAGCCUCGUUGGUUGAUGCUCCAUUUCCCACUUCACUGAGCGGGACGCAAAGCCCAGCUGCCCCAGAUACCAACUGAAGCUCCAGCAGCUCCCAGCUUCCCCAUUCCAGACCCCGUCCUCGAACCCUGACCAUCCCCAAGGAGCCAGCCCGGGGUUGCCAUGGUUACCUUUGAUGGCCCCUCCUGAAUUGUUCUGCUUCUUCCAAUGUUGCUUCCUGUUGGCCAGAUUCCA